CCGGGCUUGAAAUGCAGACGACGUAUCCAGAGAUGGAUAUUCCUUACGGGGCGUCUGUGUAGGUGCUGCAUGGUUGUCGUCAGCUCGUGCCGUGAGGUGUCGGCCUAAGUGCCAUAACGAGCGCAACCCCUAUCGUUAGUUGCCAUCAGGUAAAGCUGGGGACUCUAACGAGACUGCCAUCGUAAGAUGCGAGGAAGGUGGGGAUGACGUCAAAUCAGCACGGCCCUUACGUCCGGGGCGACACACGUGUUACAAUGGGUGGUACAAAGGGCAGCUACAUGGCGACAUGAUGCCAAUCUCCAAAACCACUCUCAGUUCGGAUCGGAGUCUGCAACUCGACUCCGUGAAGCUGGAUUCGCUAGUAAUCGCGCAUCAGCCACGGCGCGGUGAAUACGUUCCC
rnacentral:rRNA from 1 species